rnacentral:rRNA from 1 species
AGCGAACGCUGGCGGCAGGCCUAACACAUGCAAGUCGAACGAACUCUUCGGAGUUAGUGGCGGACGGGUGAGUAACACGUGGGAACGUGCCUUUAGGUUCGGAAUAACUCAGGGAAACUUGUGCUAAUACCGAAUGUGCCCUUCGGGGGAAAGAUUUAUCGCCUUUAGAGCGGCCCGCGUCUGAUUAGCUAGUUGGUGAGGUAAAGGCUCACCAAGGCGACGAUCAGUAGCUGGUCUGAGAGGAUGAUCAGCCACAUUGGGACUUAGACACGGCCCAAACUCCUACGGGAGGCAGCAGUGGGGAAUCUUGCGCAAUGGGCGAAAGCCUGACGCAGCCAUGCCGCGUGAAUGAUGAAGGUCUUAGGAUUGUAAAAUUCUUUCACCGGGGACGAUAAUGACGGUACCCGGAGAAGAAGCCCCGGCUAACUUCGUG